GACGAACGCUGGCGGCGUGCUUAACACAUGCAAGUCGAACGGAAAGGCCCUGCUUUUGUGGGGUGCUCGAGUGGCGAACGGGUGAGUAACACGUGAGUAGCCUGCCCUUGACUUUGGGAUAACUUCAGGAAACUGGGGCUAAUACCGGAUAGGAGCUCCUGCUGCAUGGUGGGGGUUGGAAAGUUUCGGCGGUUGGGGAUGGACUCGCGGCUUAUCAGCUUGUUGGUGGGGUAGUGGCUUACCAAGGCUUUGACGGGUAGCCGGCCUGAGAGGGUGACCGGCCACAUUGGCACUGAGAUACGGCCCAGACUCCUACGGGAGGCAGCAGUGGGGAAUAUUGCACAAUGGGCGGAAGCCUGAUGCAGCAACGCCGCGUGCGGGAUGACGGCCUUCGGGUUGUAAACCGCUUUCGCCUGUGACGAAGCGUGAGUGACGGUAAUGGGUAAAGAAGCACCGGCUAACUACGUG
rnacentral:rRNA from 1 species